AACCUAGCACACCUGCGGUGUGUACCUGCGGAAGGAUCAUUACAUGAUUUAACAGGGAGUGGAGGCUUCGGCCAAAGCUCUGUCUGAACCCAUGUCUUUUGCGUACUUCUUGUUUCCUCGGUGGGCUUGCCCGCCGAUAGGACAACCUUAAACUCUUUGCAAUUGCAAUCAGCGUCUGAAAAACUAUAAUAGUUACAACUUUUAACAAUGGAUCU
rnacentral:misc_RNA from 1 species